AGGUAAAUGUGCAUUUCUUGACAUCUUGGAUCUCCAUUCUGCGUCAGGGGACCCCCAGCUCACUUGUCAGAUGAGGAACGGAUUGAAGGUCUCACAUAACCCUUACAACAGGCCUCGGGAAGGAGGCCAGUGGAAGAAGAGCUGUUCACCAGCGAGGACCGCCCCUUGUCCGUUUGAAAGGAGAAGGCACUGGAUUACUCUGUGCCCUGGGGGAGACCUAAUGUGUCAGCAAACCACAGACUCAAGUGGCUGCCUUGGGGGCUGCUUUGCUGAGAAUAAUAGCUGUCAAUCAAUUAUGUGCAAGAAGGACACCGCUGUGAUCACCUACUGUUGAUAGGCAGCCUGGAGAAAGUCAUGCCAACAAGCCAGAACUUAGCAUUCCUUUCUGUUAACCCCAAGUUUUUAGAUGAAACUUCACUUCCUUCACCAAUCGCAAAUCGGAGGAUUUUUGAAUCCACCUAUUAUCUGUAAGCACCCACUUCAAUGGAUAACCUCCAUGUAUUAAUUUAUUAUUUUUGCCUGUAACUUCUGCUUUUCUGAAACUUACCUCUGCCUUCAAAAAUUCUUACUUGUGGCCAGGCACGGUGGCUCAUGCCUGUAAUCCCAGCACUUUGGAAGGCUGAGGUGGGUGGUUCACUUGAGCCCAGGAGUUCAAAACCAGGCUGAGCAAUGUGGCAAAGCUCCAUCUCUACUAAAAAUGCAAAAAUUAGCCAAGUGUGGUGGCACACGACUGUAAUCUUAGCUACUUGAGAGGCUGAGGCAUGAGAAUUGCUUGAAUCCAGGAGGCAGAGUUUGCAGUGAACAGAGAUCAUGCCACUGCACUCCAGCCUGGGCAACAGAGCAAGACUCUGUCUCAAAAAAUUACAAAAAAAAAACCUUGCUUGUAAGCUAUCGGGGAGGUCAGAUCUUGGGCAUGAGCUACCCAAUUGUCCUUGCUUGGAGCCCUGCAAAUAAAUGUCCUCCCUUAUCUUGCUGUAAAACCUCAGUGUGAAUGUUUGGCUUUACUGUACUGGGCUAAUGGAACCUAGUUAGAUUCAGUAACACCCAGAGUGGAUGAGAUACCUUUUCAAGGUUCUUCUGAACCAUAUGAUCAUGCAACUUCAGGAGAAAUUCAGAUGCUAAAAAGAA
rnacentral:lncRNA from 1 species